UACCCUUGACAUGUCUGGAAUCCCGAAGAGAUUUGGGAGUGCUCGCAAGAGAACCGGAACAC
rnacentral:rRNA from 1 species